AACACCCCGCAAAAAAAAAAGUCUUAUCGAUCCCCUCGAGGAGACCGCACCGCCAUCUUGCGAUCUCGAGAAGACGCUGCCGGAUCUCGUGCGAUCUCGCUGGCGCAGACGUACGGGAUUGCCGCCGCGGACGUAAGGGUCACGUCAUAUCUCGUCGCCGAUGAGGUACGGGAUCGCCGCCGCCGACCUUCCUCAAUCUUUUGUCUAGGGUUCCCCGCCUCCGCCGCCACCGACGACGGCGCCAUCACGGAACCUCAGGGCAGGUCAGGUCUCCAAGCAGCUCGUGCUUGUGUGGGGUCGCCGCACUCCGCACACCGCUGCCGUGGCGGAUCCCCGGGGCCGCCGCCGCCGCUGAACCCCAUGGACGAAGUCGUCCCACGAACGGCCGAUGCAGGCACCACAACAGCAGCUCGUUACCGAAAUAUCAGGGGCGCAUAUGAUGUACAGGAUCAUCUCGUCCAUGCCAUGGAACAAAGCCACCUGCUUGACAAGCUCCAAACAGAGGAGUACAAGGAACAAGGGAGCAGGACUUGGAGAAGAAGGGAUCCAAAAAUCGAAAAGGCACUGGACUUGGAGAAAGAGAGAGCGUCGUGGCACAUUCAGUUGCAGAAACAUCAAUUGCUUGAUUUGUGUGUAAAACCUCUAAUAUAAAGGGGAGUACCUAGGUUGUUUCGUUUGUUUCAUUAGUCCCAUCGAUCAAAGCCCACCCCCACCAAACACCCUCCCAAAGGGCUUACCCAGGUCCACCCAUGAAGUCUCUCAAAGCUUCAUAAGUCAACUGGCUUGGUUGAUUCCUCUGGUUCUCCACUACACAUAUUUUUUUCUAGAUUUUUGCAGUUUCUUUCUUUGGCUUAUUUCAUGUAACAUGGGGAUUUCUUGUAAUUUUGUUUUGUUCAUGAAGAUGCAGAAUCAAGAGGAGACCUAAACAAGCUUCUUCUCAGUUCAGAAAAAAACUCAUUUCUGGCAUAACUCGGCAAUCCCACUCAAAAGGAGGAGCAGUAUCACUUAACCUGUUCAUAUUACCCCCAAUAUGAAUUAUCAUCCUCGAUGGCCACUCCAGGGAAGGAUUCUCAUCAAGAAUCACUGUUGCUGGAGGUUUCUCGCAAUGCACAGCACCGAUAGGCAAAACUUCUUUGUUACCCACACCAUCUCUACAAUAAGAGGGUGUGCAUGUGCGAAAAGAAGGAUAUGAUGAUCUACUUAUCAGCUCAUAGGAAUGACAGACUAUUUUUCUUUCUUUAAGUGCUUAUCAGGUAAAUAUUUGUCCACAUGGUAAUAGAAAUCAUAUGGUGCCAAGUGAUGGGGAACUUCGCUGGUUGUCUACAUGAUGGCUCGGGGCCAUGCUUGAUGCUCGUGCCAUGGGACACAUUACAAGCCCCCUCACCCACCCUGACGAGAAGGGCGGCAAGACGACAAUUGCUUGCUGAUUUUUAUCGUUGCAUAAAUAUGCUUAUUGUUACAGUGCUUGUCGCUGAGCUGGAGAUGGAAAGAACCAAUCUUACUUUACUGUUGUGUGAGAAUUAUUAGUCUGCAAAUUGAUUACUAAUCCCUCCGUCUCAAAAUAAGUGACUCAACUUUGUACUAGCUUUAGUACAAAGUUAGUACAAAGUUGAGUCACUUAUUUUGGGAUGGAGGGAGUAUUUUUCUAUCCUUUGGUGAAAUGACCAGGAGCAAGCAAGAUGUUGCCAAUACUUGCGAGAUGAUAGUGUACUUGGCCUUGACUUCCUUUUCUGGUCCUAACCAAUUAGUGUAAUGUUUUUCAUUGUUUAUUAUCCUCGGUGCAUACAAAAAAUUACUUGAGUCUCAGGUAGCCAGGUUGCAUUAUCACCAUCUUAUAAAUAUUUGUUGUGCAGGUCUGAGCUAUGUGCAAGGAAGCUCAAGACAUUGGAGGAAAGCAUUGUCGGAUAUGUGGUAUCCUGACCCUCUUACUUGGGACUGGGAUAAGUUACAAUCUUACAUGUUCUGAGUUCUGUACUCCCAUGUACUUGGGUCAAGAAUUUAUCUUGACAUUAUUUUAAAAUUUUCUCUAAGAUGUGCAUAUCACCGCUGAAUUUUUUGCAAUAUAUAAAUUCAGUGUUAUUGUGAACACUUGAACUAUACAUACAGAUGUGUAGAAUGAGAUUGUUGUAUACAGGACUGAGGUUAUCCUUUAGUCAGCUAAAUAGUGAAUAGUUUACUGAUGUA